ensembl:lncRNA novel transcript
GGCGAGUGCUGUUUCCGCCCCAGACCCGGUUCAAACGCUGCUGCCGACGCGCACUGUAUAGCUGCAUAAGCUGCUCGUAGGGCACGUCCAGCAUCUGGUCCAGGCCCACACCGCGAAAAAAAGGUUUACCACAGUGGCUCAAGGAAAACGGAACCAGAGUAAGACAGUUUCUACUUGGACUUGGGGAACCAGCAAACUCAUUCACUUACAAUCAAGAACAAACCGAUUAAAUUGAAUAAAGGUCACUCAAAGGAGCCAAGCCCCUUUGUCAAAUCAGGAGCUCCAUCAGCCAAUCAGGAACCCAGAUGCCAGCGUGGGAGUUUGUCAGUGGAAAUAACAUUGCAUGACUUCCAAGUCUGGUUUCUUCAUUUGCAAGAUAUCAACCCAAUAGGAUUGUGACUGAAAUCAAAUGAGGCACCCAAGUCUAAUAUGAGAAAAACAUGAGAAAAAUUCCAGGAGGGGGACAUUCUACAAAAUACCUGACCAGUACAUCUCAAAAUUGUCACGAUCAUCAACAAGGAAAGAUUGAGAUACUGUCAUAGCCAAGAGACGCCAAAGGAAAAAUGACAACUAAAUGUAAUGUGGUAUCCUGGAUAAGAUCCUGGAAUGGAAUAGAAAAUGGGCAUUGGGUAGAAACUGAAUAAAGUAGAGACUUUAGUUAAUAACAGUAUGUUGAUGUUGGUUUAAUAAUUGUAACAAAGGUACCAUAUUAAUGUAAGAUGUUAACAAUCAGAGUAACUGGAUUCAGGGUAUAUGGAAACUUUCCAUUCUAUUUUCUUAAUUUUUCUAUGAAUCUAAAACCAAAAACUAAAGUCUACUUAAAAAAAAAAUCACAGGAGGCAACAUACAUAAAAGCAUAUAGUUGGUGCUCCAUAAUGUAACCUCUUCUUUUCUGGGCAGUGUGGAAAAACAAACUGUUGUUCAUGUCUUCUGGGAUCUUUUGCCCCUUUCUAAUCCAACCAGAAAGGUUCUGGGGAGAAUGUAAGUCAUCUCUAUAUUCUCAUCUGCAGGUAGCCAGGGGUGAGAAUAGCUACAUUUACUUAAGUUUAGUCUGUGGAGUAGUUUCUGCUACAGAAUGAUUCUUGUUAGACCCUGUAAGAGUUCUUUUGGCUCAGGUCCCCAGAAAAUAAAUUUACAAACCCUUAAAUCAGUUCAACGUAUCAGGAACGGCCAUAUAAAUCCAUUCUCGUUGUUUGCAAGAAACUAUUGUACGUUAAAAUAUUUAAGAUUAGGAACGAGACCUAUAUAAAAAUGUUUCUAAGAAAACUUUUUCCUAAACAUAAUAUAUAAGCUAUUUAGACUGCUUCACGUGCCCAGGAUAGAGUUACCCUUUUUUUUUUUUUUUUUUUUUCUGGGUUGGUGGUACUUUACCUCUCUUUUAUUGUACCAACAACCCAAAGAUUAAAUAAUUAAAGACUAUAAUCAGUUCUUUUUAGAAUGGAGGUAAAAAUAUGAAAAAUUUAAAUCCUGUUAUUUUUCCAAAUUACACAAAAAAAUUAACUUAUAAAUCAUAAA